rnacentral:rRNA from 1 species
AGCGAACGCUGGCGGCAGGCCUAACACAUGCAAGUCGAACGAACCUUUCGGGGUUAGUGGCGGACGGGUGAGUAACACGUGGGAACGUGCCUUUAGGUUCGGAAUAACUCAGGGAAACUUGUGCUAAUACCGAAUGUGCCCUUCGGGGGAAAGAUUAAUCGCCUUUAGAGCGGCCCGCGUCUGAUUAGCUAGUUGGUUGAGGUAAUGGCUCACCAAGGCGACGAUCAGUAGCUGGUCUGAGAGGAUGAUCAGCCACAUUGGGACUGAGACACGGCCCAAACUCCUACUGGAGGCAGCAGUGGGGAAUCUUGCGCAAUGGGCGAAAGCCUGACGCAGCCAUGCCGCGUGAAUGAUGAAGGUCUUAGGAUUGUAAAAUUCUUUCACCGGGGACGAUAAUGACGGUACCCGGAGAAGAAGCCCCGGCUAACUUCGUG